AUCGCUUCUUGGCCUUUUGGCUAAGAUCAAGUGUAGAAUAUCUCUGCCUACCACCUAUGACGUUUCUGACUUUAUUUUGUGCCAUUUUCUCUUUCAUUCACUCUAUGUUGGCAUCUUUGCUAAUCCGUAAACACUCUUGGCAUGCUCCAGCCUUAGGGCUUUGUGCUAGCUGCAUCUGUGACCUAUGCCACAGCUUGCAGCAACUCCA
rnacentral:snRNA from 1 species